rnacentral:misc_RNA from 1 species
GAUGAAGAACGCAGCAAAAUGCGAUAAGUAAUGUGAAUUGCAGAAUUCAGUGAAUCAUCGAAUCUUUGAACGCACAUUGCGCCCGCCAGUAUUCUGGCGGGCAUGCCUGUUCGAGCGUCAUUUCAACCCUCAAGCCCUCGGGUUUGGUGUUGGGGAUCGGCGAGCCUUUCUGGCAAGCCGGCCCCGAAAUCUAGUGGCGGUCUCGCUGCAGCCUCCAUUGCGUAGUAGUAAAACCCUCGCAACUGGAACGCGGCGCGGCCAAGCCGUUAAACCCCCAACUUCUGAAUGUUGACCUCGGAUCAGGUAGGAAUACCCGCUGAACUUAAGCAUAUCAAUAAGCGGACGA